GAGCGAGCCGCGGCAGCGAGCGGUCCGUCUCGCACGCGCGGGCACCGCGCUGGUCCUGGGCUGCAGGUUUCCCAGAUGAUGGCAUCCGAGAACUUAAACAAAGGGGGACGCCGCCGGCGCAAAGCGGCUGCGGAAAGUUGCGGUGGCGGAUUUCCAAGGAGCGUGGCCACGACCCGAGCCCUUGGCGAUGCGAGCUCUCUCUUUCCACCCCCGCCGAGACAGAGAUGGGGGCCGGCUGGUGAAGGAAAAAGGAAACUUUGAAACCACUGGGGAUACAUCUGCCUAUAGACUGGUAGCGAACGCCCCGAGCCGCGGAGAGAACGCCAACCUCUCGGCCGGACACUAAGAACAACUGCUGGGAAAAAAAUAAAACACCAGCCCCAACCGUCAGCAACAAGGUAACAGAGCCAUUCGACCUCAUUUUUCUACUGUUCAAUUUUUUCCUUGUUAUAUUUGUUUCCUAAUUUCUGCCCAAAAGGAAAGAUGUCGCAUCAGACUGUGACUGUUGCGAGGAGAAUGAAAAAGGACUCUUGUUUCAGAGGCAACCAAGAGCUCCGGCAAUAGCAACUUCAGAGAAAUGCACCAUCGCAAGAAGUUUUCCUAGGACAGAACAAAACUUGAAACGAAAGGACCAGAGGAGGAGAGCAGGAGCCAGCCUCUCCUCUCCGCACACGCGAGCAGCCAGCAUCACCACGCCUUCAAGGACGAAAAAAAAAGUUUUACUACUCGAAAGGAAACCGAGUGAAAUGUGUUCCUGAGGAGGAGAGAAGAGAGCGGGCGAGGGGAAGGAGCAGUCCGGUUGCUGGCCAUCCAUAAUUUGGUUAAGGAAGAAAGGAACGGCUGCUUUCUUUGUUGUCUCCCGUGAAAUCUUCACUUAGCAGGUGGACUGAGCCCCGCGCCCAGGCAGAGUCCUCACUCGCCUGAGGACAGCAGGAGGAGCCGGAGCCGGCGCGCCCCGCCAAAGAGCCCGGAGCGCAGGCCAGCGCCCCGCCCGGUGAGCCCCGCUGGAGCGAGCGGAACGCGCCGGGGCUGGGGGGCGGCCACGACCCCCCCUGAAGGGGGCGGCCACGGAGCGCGCCCCGAGAAGCGAGCCCCCCUUCCCAGAGCGCUGCUCCUGCUGCUGCUGCUGCUGCUGCUGCUGACCAAGGCCGGCCGGCGACCCCCGCGCCCUGCCGAGCGGCCUUGCAGCUGCAGCCGGGGGCCGCGGCGGCGGCGGCGGCGGCGGGGGCGGAGGCGGCGGAGGAGGAGGCGGCGGCGA